AAAGGCCGGCAACGCUCUUGUGAUUCCUCUGGUGUUGCAAGAGAAUGUGAGCGGCGCUGAUCACUUAACACCAUGUGACCCGUACGCUCGUUUGUCCUCCUAUUCCAUAAAAAAAAACUUUGGCUAGCAAAAUAUUUUAAUUCUUUAAAGUUGAAAGUAUCUAAGUGCCAUAAGAUUCCCGAAAUUCCAAAUUUACAAUAGACUGAGCGUUUCGAACAUUACACAAGAAACCCCCAAAUAUAUUUGAAAGAAUAGUGUGAGAGUUCAAUGGACAAACUUACACAUACUUUUUAAACCUUGCGGAGGAAAUGAGAUAAUAUAUUAUAUGAGAGUUGAACAAAGCAUAUAAGAUUUUAUGACGAUAUGUCACUUGAACCCUUAGCUCAGUUGGUUAGAGCACCGGCACGGAAAGCCGGAGGUCGUGGGUUCGAGUCCCGCAUCGUUCAUAAAAUUUUGUUUUUCAAAUUUUAUUUGUGUAUUAAUCCUAGAAGUGAGGGUUACACUUUAAAAAUAUAACAAAUUGUUUAGAUUUACAAGUGCGAUAUCUCAAGUCAAUUUCCUAAUAUGCAAAUAUUGGGGUUGAGCAGGUUAUCAACUGUAAAGUAGAUCCUGUAGAUGAAGCAACAACCUGAGAGUUGAACAAAGCAUACAAGAUUUUAUGACGAUACGUCACUCGAACGGUUAGCUCAGUUGGUUAGAGCACCGGCACGGAAAGCCGGAGGUCGUGGGUUCGAGUCCCGCAUCGUUCAUAAAGUUUUGUUUUUCAAAUUUUGUUUCUGUAUAAUAUAUUAUGUUUAUUUUAUGCGUUGAUGCGGAUGUGUGUUGGAUGUUGCCAUUAUUACAAUAAAUGCCAAGCAUUGCUGGAAUAUGUGAUAUAAUUUUCCCUAACCAAUAUAUUACAAUACUUUUACAAAUU